AUGAUGGGAGGUGUUGUGUCUUGUGAAUACCCGGUGACGACGGUGACAUUUGAGUUGGAGUGGGCGUGGCGGUUGAGCAGAAGAGAACAGCCCGCUCGUGGCGUGGCGACGAAUAACAUGUUCGCUCUGUCCACCCGCUUCCCCGCCCCGACCACCCUCCAAAACCGACCAAACCAAUCCCUCCUCACACCCAUCGGCCACUCCCUCACACGGGUCGUCCAGCAACCCUCUCGCUCCCCGCGCCACACGCACGCGCAGCCCACGAUGGCGAGAACCGGAGCGCGCGGCCGGUGCCAAGCCCUCCUGCUCGCCGCUCUCGCGCUCUGCGCCGCGUGCGCGUGCGUGCCGGCAGCCCACGCGGGCGCGCUGCGGGCGUCGGCCAUCUCCGCGGCGCCGGAGCCGUCGCAGUACCCGCUGCUGCAGCCGCGCCACGGCGGCCGCCACGCGAGCGCCCCCUCCGCGCUCCCGCCGUCGCUCUCGCUCUCCCCGGACAUAAUGCCGCUGCUCCCCUCCCCGGGCCCCGGCGACGACGCGCUGGCGCCGUCCGACGCGGCGGCCACCAUCCCGUCCAGCCCGAGCCCGCCCAACCCCGACGCGCUCGAGCCCGACUCCGCGUUCGCGCCCUUCGGCUCCGCCGCGCCCGCCGCCGUCAGCGGGAUGCAGUCCUCCGCGCCGCCGGCUCCCCGCGUGGCGUGGGCGGCGCUCCCGGCAGUGGGGCUCGUGGCCGCCAUGUGGUUGGCGUAG
rnacentral:rRNA from 1 species